rnacentral:rRNA from 1 species
AACGUAGGAGACAAACGUUGUCCGGAGUUACUGGGCGUAAAGGGCGUGUAGGUGGUUCUGUAAGUCUGGCGUGAAAUUUUUCGGCUUAACCGGGAAAGGUCGUCGGAUACUGCAGGGCUAGAGGACGGUAGAGGCGUGUGGAAUUCCGGGUGUAGUGGUGAAAUGCGUAGAGAUCCGGAGGAACACCAGUGGCGAAGGCGACACGCUGGGCCGUACCUGACACUGAUGCGCGACAGCAUGGGGAGCAAACAGG